rnacentral:rRNA from 1 species
GACGAACGCUGGCGGCGUGCCUAAUACAUGCAAGUCGAACGCAGUGGGGACGGGUGAGUAACACGUGGGUAACCUCCCAUCAGAGGGGAUAACACUUGGAAACAGGUGCUAAACCGAUACUGAUGGAUGGACCUGCGGUGCAUUAGCUAGUUGGUGAGGUAACGGCUCACCAAGGCCACGAUGCAUAGCAGAAGUGAGAGGGUGAUCGGCCGCCCUGAGAGUGAGACACGGCCCAAGCUCCCAAGGGAGGCAGCAGUAGGGAAUCUUUGGCAAUGGAGGAACGUCUGACCGAGCAACGCCGCGGGAGUGACGAGGUUUUUCGGAUCGUAAUGCUCUGUUGUUAGAGAAGCGGUAUCUAACCAGAAAGCCACGGCUAACUACGUGCCAGCAGCCGCGGUAAUAC